CUGGGAACCACGAUCUGAGAGGAUGUAGGUUGGGAUCGUGUCAAUAUUUCCGUUCUGAGUAGGGCUGUGUGAUUAAUUGAAGUCGUAAUAAAAUCACGAUUUGAGCGUGCGUGAUUUCUAAAUCGUUUUAUAGCUCGAUUUUCCGCGGCCCCGACCUCCCGCAGUAUGCUAUCCAAUCCAAUCAGAAUGCAGCGCAACUAAGUGGAGCGUGAGAACAGAACAGACUGGGCAUGUGCCUACAGUACGUAACUCCAGGUUCACACACUCUGUCUGUGAUGCGUAUUUUUUCCGAGCCCAUGUUAAUGGAUCAGAGCGUUCACACUGCACACGGUAAAAAAUGUGAACAGAGAAAGUUAGAAAUCGAAAGGUGAGGAAAGAAUGAAUAUCUAGCGCAUGAGCAUAUAGAGAGAGUUGUGAGUGAGUGAGUGAGUGAGUGAGUGAGAGGAGACAUGUUUUAAUAUUGCGCGCACUCUCUCUGGACGAGAGCAGCGUGUAUCUGAGCACGCGUGUCUGGUUUUGUGACAAAGCAAAGGAAAUCUGCUUGCGAGCGGACAGAUUCGCGCUCGCGCACUAUUUUAAUGUGCUUUCGCGUUACAAUAACGCGCUCUCGCUGCUGCUUCUGCACUGCAUACACAUACUGUAUACGCACUGCAGACGGAGUACGUGUGAACCUGUAUAAUGUAUAACAAAUCUAUUUCAACACCUGAGGCAAGAGGCAUGUUACAACUUUUUGAUAAAGCUCUCAUUGGUUUUCUUUUGGAAAUAUGUUUCAAAUUUAUACUGAAUGCAUUUAUGACUGUAAAGCAUGUCUGUUUUAAGAGGCAUGUUACAACUUUUUGAUAAAGCUCUCAUUGGUUUUCUUUUGGAAAUAUGUUUCAAAUUUAUACUGAAUGCAUUUAUGACUGUAAAGCAUGUCUGUGUGUGUGUCAAAAUCGUGAUUAAAAUCGAAAUCGCAAAAUUGAUCAAAAAAUCGUGAUAGGUUUUUUUUGUCCAUAUCGCACAACCCUAGUUCUGAGUAUACGUGCAAUGGUUGGAGAUGUUGCAGCACGCAUGGGAAAGAUCUCUACCCAUUGGGUAUGAUAGUCCACAGUUACUAACACAUA
ensembl:lncRNA